CCUACGGGUGGCUGCAGUGGGGAAUAUUGCACAAUGGGGGAAACCCUGAUGCAGCGACGCCGCGUGAGUGAAGAAGUAUUUCGGUAUGUAAAGCUCUAUCAGCAGGGAAGAAAUAGCGACCUUUGGGUCGCCAGACGGUACCUGAUUAAGAAGCCCCGGCUACCUACGUGCCAGCAGCCGCGGUAAUACGUAGGGGGGAAGCGUUAUGCGGUUUUAUUGGGUUUAAGGGGUGCGCAGGGGGAAGAUCAAGUCAGCGGUAAAAUGUAGAGGCUCAACCUCUUCGAGCCGUUGAAACUGGUAUUCUUGAGUGAGUGAGAAGUAUGCGGAAUGCGUGGUGUAGCGGUGAAAUGCAUAGAUAUCACGAAGAACACCGAUUGCGAAGGCAGCAUACCGGCGCUCAACUGACGCUCAUGCACGAAAGUGUGGGUAUCGAACAGGAUUAGAUACCCUUGUAGUC
rnacentral:rRNA from 1 species